rnacentral:rRNA from 1 species
GACGAACGCUGGCGGCGUGCUUAACACAUGCAAGUCGAGCGGUAAGGCCCUUUCGGGGGUACGACGAGCGGCGAACGGGUGGAGUAACACGUGGGUGACCUGCCCUCAGCUCUGGGAUAAGCCUGGGAAACCGGGGUCUAAUACCGGAUAUGACUCCAUGACGCAUGUUGUGGGGUGGAAAGCCUUGUGCGGCUGAGGAUGGGCCCGCGGCCUAUCAGCUUGUUGGUGGGGUGAUGGCCUACCAAGGCGACGACGGGUAGCCGGCCUGAGAGGGCGACCGG